CUUGAUCGCGCCCAACAGCAACGGCGUCUCGCGGUCCCGGCCGUAGGUCGCCAGCAACGCCUGCGCCUC
rnacentral:antisense_RNA from 1 species